rnacentral:misc_RNA from 1 species
UCUCCGUUGGUGAACCAGCGGAGGGAUCAUUAUAGAGUUUUCUAAACUCCCAACCCUUUGUGAACUUACCUUUGUUGCCUCGGCGGAGCCUACCCGGUACCUACCCUGUAGCGCCCCGCCGGUGGACUUCUAAACUAUUGUUAUUUUAAUGAUAUCUGAGAGUCUUAUUUAAUAAGUCAAAACUUUCAACAACGGAUCUCUUGGUUCUGGCAUCGAUGAAGAACGCAGC